UUACCCUAAUAUUAGGGAAGCAAAUAGGGGUUCUUUUGAAAAUUUAUAACCAUCAAUGGCUAGUUGCCAAACCUUAUAUCAUCGACUCCGACGUAGUUUAAUACUUGCAUACAGAAAUUAGGCUUCUCCGCCGUUCCGGAGUUGCAUUCACCACCACUUUUCUUUUAAUUUUUCUUCUUUAGUAUUACUUUUAUUAAUCCCCACAGGCAAGCUAGGCCACAUUCUUCCUCGCCUCUUCUUUUUCAAAUAACACCAGAAAAUGAAACGAAGUUGAAAAACCCAGAACAGAAAAACAAAGACAGUUUUUUUGGACAGAUUUCUUUAUUAUUAUUUUUCUCAAAUUAUGGGAUCUGUUACAAUGGACCCUGCCGUUUUGGAUAAUAUAAUAUGUCGUUUAUUGGAGUUUAAGCAGGGAAGGACAGGGGGCAAGCAAGUGCAGCUGAUGGAAGGUGAGAUCCAUCAGCUUUGCACUGUUGCAAGGGAAAUAUUGAUUCAGCAGCCUACUCUUCUUGAACUUGAAGCUCCCAUUAAGAUAUGUGGUGACAUUCACGGGCAGUAUGUUGAUCUUCUGCGGAUUUUUGAGUAUGGAGGUUUCCCUCCCAGUGUUAAUUAUUUAUUCCUGGGGGACUAUGUUGAUCGUGGCAAGCAGAGUCUAGAAACUAUAUGCCUUUUGCUGGCCUAUAAGAUCAAAUAUCCUGAUAACUUGUUUCUUUUGCGAGGGAAUCAUGAAUGUGCUUCUAUUAAUCGGAUUUAUGGAUUUUAUGAUGAAUGCAAACGAAGGUUCAAUGUGAAAGUUUGGAGAAUCUUUACCGAGUGUUUUAACUGUCUUCCUGUGGCUGCUCUAAUAGAUGACAAAAUUUUGUGUAUGCAUGGUGGCCUUUCCCCUGAUCUAACAAAUUUGGAUCAGAUAAGGGCCUUAACCCGUCCAACUGAUGUUCCUGAUACUGGUUUGCUUUGUGAUUUACUUUGGUCAGAUCCUGGUAGGGAUAUCAAAGGCUGGGGCAUGAGUGAUCGAGGAGUCUCGUUCACAUUUGGCCCAGAUAGAGUCUCUGACUUCUUAAUGAAAAAUGAUCUGGACCUCAUUUGCCGUGCCCAUCAGGUUGUUGAAGAUGGUUAUGAGUUCUUUGCUGACAGACAGCUUGUUACAAUAUUUUCCGCUCCCAACUACUGUGGUGAAUUUGAUAAUGCUGGUGCAAUGAUGAGUGUUGAUGAAAGCCUAAUGUGUUCUUUCCAAAUUCUUAAGCCUGCUGAUAAAAGACCCGGGUUCAGUUGAGGGACACUACCGACGUCUGCCUCUGUUCCUACACGGAAUUGCUGAUUUGUGAUUCGAGAUGAAAGUUUCUAUGAUUUUCAGACGCCAGCGUUGGAGGCUUUUUGAAGAUAUGGGAUAUGCAAUAUCACCAUUUCCUCAUUUUAAGGGUAUCAGAGCCAUCGAUCCUCCAUGGCCAACGAAGGUAUCACCACUCGAUUGCAAAAAGAAAUGGGUCACUUACAAAAGGAGAUUGCCCAACUGCAAAUUGAUUUUUCUCAAAUGGAUGGUAAGCUUGAGACACGAUUGAAGGAGAUUAGAGAAGAGUUCAAGUGUGAGAUUAAUAGUGAGUUGCAAUAUUUGUUCGAGAGAUAUUUUGGCCAAUCAUCCGGGGGCAGUUUUUGGGUCAACACCAGACAAAGGGAAAGGCAUUCUAGGCACAGCACCACCAUGGUUCCCUCCUAAAGACACCUUGGCAGUUUCUCCAACACCUGAGUUGAUUUACACAGGAGCUACUUCACGAAUGAGUAGUAUUGAGACACUACCAAAGCCAUUCAAGUUUGACUGUCCACGUUUUGAUGGACCGACUUCAGGGGCUGGUGGUCGAAGCUGGAGCAAUUUUUUGAGGCUGAAGGAGUUUUGGGUGAUGUCAAAGUAAGGCUCUAGAUUGACACCAUUUUUUUGCUCAUAGGGGGCCUUCAUGUACUUACCUAAUAUGUAUAUGCACAAGGCUUGAAGGAGAGAUUUGGGUCCAGUUCAUUUUUGGACCCCAUGGCAGAGCUGAUUUCACUCAAGCAACAGGGUACUGUUGACCAGUAGCAUGAUACCGUGUUGCCUUUGUAAGCUUGUUGAACCAAUUACAUUUGCCUAAAAAUUAUGCUCUCAGUAACUUGCAGAGAGACAUAAGCCAGUAUUUGCAGCUCUUCAAGCCUAAAUCAUUAGUAGAGGGCUUCCUCGCUGCUCGACAAGUGGAGAAUAUUAUGCUACAUAACCAACAAUCAAAGAAGUUUCUUUAGUCAAGUACUAGCAAACCCCCAACCUUGUUUUCUACACCUAAAAUGCUGCCAUCGAUUGGAUCUACUGUAGGAUAGGGUGGACCUACAUCUGCUACAAGUGGUCACAAGGGACUUGUUAAGUCUCUUCUCAAAGUGAGAUGGAAGAUAGGAGAAAGAAGGUGUUGUGCUUUUGGUGUGCUGCUAAGUACACUCCUAGCCAUAAGUGUACUAAGUCUCAAUUGUAUCAGUUGGUUGUAGAGCCUCAAUCUGAUAUGGAAAGUGAAGUCAAGAGUCUCCAAUCUGAAGAGUAUUAAGACUGUCCGGAUCAAUUUGAACCUAAUGACUAAGAGGAGGAGACUUGUACACUAUCGACUAUAUCUUUGCAUGCCUUACAAGGGUCGCAGAGACCAAGAACCAUGAGGGUGGUUGCACAAAUAGGGAAUUCCAAUGUAUUAUACUAGUGGAUUUAGGAAGCACCCAUAAUUUUAUGGAUGCCGAGUUGGCUCGACAGUCGAACCUUCCUGUGGAACUCUCUACUAAGCUGCAAGUCAUUAUUGCUGAUGGGGGUAUCAUGUCUACUCAGAAUGUGUUAUAUUUGUACAGUGGUAGGCACAAGGUCAGCAAUUUGUAACAAAUUUAUUAGUCCUAGCUCUCAAGGGAUGUGACUUGGUUCUCGGUAUUCAAUGGUUAACUAAUUUGGGGCCCAUUGUUUGGAAUUUCAGUUAUCUUACUUUGCAGUUGAAUACAAUGAUCAAUGUUGUACUUUGCAGGGAAUACUUCCAAGAACUAUUCAGAUGAUGGGUGGUACUCAAAGCACCAAAAUGGUGCAUCAGACUGGUCAGAGUCAUUGGCCAUUGUCAUCAUAUCGAGCAAGUUCACCCUCUUACACAUGUCAAGCUUGGUUGAUAAUGAGGAUCUGUAAUUGAUAUUGGCAGAAUUUGAAGAUGUGUGUCAGUCUCCAAAGGAACUUUCACUUCACAUAUUGCAAAAACACCGUAUUCCCCUCAAUGAUGAAAAUGUGGUAGUGAAGGUCAGGCCGUAUUGAUACCCUAUUGUACAGAAGAGUGAAAUAGAAAGGCUCGUAAAGGAAAUGUUUGAAGUUGGGGUCAUCCGAGACAAUUGUAGCCCCUUUGUAUCACCCAUUGUUUUGGUAAAAAAAGGAUGGUAGUUGGUGUAUUUGUGUGGACUAUAGGCAGCUAAAUCAACAUACCAUCAAUGAUACUUUCCCAAUUCCUGUUAUAGAAGAAUUACUUGAUGAACUAGGGACUGCUACCUAUUUUUCCAAGCUUGAUUUACGAUCUAGGUACCAUUAGAUUUGCAUGUGAGAUAAAGACAUUCACAAAACUGCUUUUAGAACCUGAAGGCCAUUACGAAUUUCUGGUUAUGCCCUUUGGCUUAAUCAAUGCCCCCUCCAACUUUCAAUUGUUGAUGAACUCUGUCUUCAGGCCUUUGUUGAGGAAGUUUAUCUUAGUAUUUUUUAAUGACA